AGGUGAUGUAAUGCUUUAAAGAGCAGAAGUGGUGCUGAUGCUGCGCAGUCAAACAGCAGCAGAGAGACGGGACAAAACACACAGACACACACAUCACACCGAGGAGCGGAGGUUCAGUGCAGACUCACCCUCAGAGACAGAACAAUGACUCUCGCAGCCUACAGAGAGAAGAUGAAGGAGCUCCCCCUGGUGGCCUACUUCUGCUCUUGCAUCCUUCCAGAGCCUAAAGAGAAAACCACCAAAAAAACUCACCAAGGCGUGGUGGAUCUGAACCUGUGCCUUAUCAGGGACAUGGAGGUGAUCGAGCUGAACAAGCGUUCCUCAGGUCAGGCCUUCGAGGUCAUCCUGAGGCCGCCGUCGUUCGACGGUCAGAGAGAGUUUAAUCCCACCAUCCCGCCCCGCAGAGACCCCUCGCUGGAGGAGAUCCAGAAAAAGCUGGACGCUGCGGAGGAGAGGAGGAAGGGUCAGGAGGCCGAACUUCUGAAACAUUUGGCUGAAAAGCGAGAGCACGAGCGUGAAGUGGCUCAGAAAGCCGUGGAGGAACACAACAACUUCAUCAAAAUGGCCAAAGAGAAGCUGGAGCAGAGGAUGGAGAUCAACAAGGAGAACAGAGAAGCUCACAUCGCUGCCAUGCUCGAGCGCCUGCAGGAGAAGGAGAAACACGCUGAGGAGGUGAGGAAAACGAAAGCGCAGAUGGAGGUGGACUGGCAGUAGAACGGGAAACGCUGCUCUGUCCGUCUCAUUGUCGUGUCGUUUAGAUGUCACGUGGGGGGGAAACCCGGAAUUGUGUGAUUUGGAUUUAAUUUCCGAGCUUCAGCGUGAGAUUUGCGCAAAAGAGUGUUAGAGAAAGAAGAACAUUCAUUAGGACUUUGCAUGUUUUUAAGCUCACACGCUGCGUCUGCUCUCAAUUCGCCUGCUGUCCGUCCUGAUUAGUGUCUGAGAUUAGGAUUAUCGUGUCUCUGAAUCAGUUUAAUUAUUUUAUAGAGUGCACGUUUCCAUGCCAACAGAGCAAAUCUUUUCCUACGUAAAGCAGGAGACGCUUUCCUCGCUCGUGCUCGUGCUCGUGUUCUCGCUCCUGCGUUGAGAUUUCACCAGAUUUUGGGAAUUGCUUUAGGACCCACAAUAUUCCCUACUCGUGAAGGAAAACAGAUCAAAUUCAAAAGAAAAUCUCUUGAAGUUAAACUUAUAUUCUGUCUGUAGUAAGUCGUGACUUCGUGCUCAUCGUUAUCUGGGAACGCUUUCUAGUCCACAUCAUUCUUCUUCCACUGUUUAUCACUCAGACACUCGGGCCUUUACAGCUGGUCUCACAAACCUCGACUGCUCUCAAAGAACACGACCAAGAACCAGCUACAUGCGCAGAAACAGGAAGUCUGAUGGACGUGACAUGCGACCAAUCACAGAAUCUUUUCCUGCAGCGUGUCAGUAAACAAGAGAGAUCGGAUUCACUGUCUGAUGAUCGACAAACUAAACAACGCUGCGUCUCAAUCCGUCCUGAUCAACAGCCGAGAUUAGGAUCAUCGGGUCCCGGAUCGUAGGCUGCUGAAACGAGUUUCCCGAAGAUUCCCGGAUACUCAACUGAUUCCUGGAGAUUUUCCAAGUAAAUCUUACCGACAAUAUUACCCACGAUUCCUUGCGCGAGGGAGGAGGAGGAGUUUGGUGACGGUUUGCUUCUCCGAAUCCGAGGACGUGUUUUAGAGAGGUGUAAAUGAAACGUGGAAAAUAAAUCAAGGGAAUGUUAAAUGAAAUGAUGAAAGAAGAAAAAAAAUGAAAUGAUGAAGAAAAGCUGAAAUGCGGCGAGGAGGUUGUUUACGGUGACGGCGUGUGUAACCAGGCAACAACGUUCUCUUCUCUUCCGUUACAUCGUUACGUGUUAGUGAGAACGUCCCAGUACUCGCAUACGACUCUUUACUACACACUCAAAAGUACGCACUUUUCCUUCACUAAUACUGUAGUGCGUAGUAGAAGUAGGCGAAUUGAGACGCAGAGACGGGGUUGUGAUGUGUUUUUGUGAUGAUGUAAGAACGUAAACUUGUAGUUUGUGUAGUUGCAGUUGGUGUGUAUUAGCUUUGUCAGUUUUAUUGUGUAAAAUUAAAUAACGGCUCGAUAUCAGAGGAAGUGAAUCAUGUGAAGCGUGGUUUGUUUUAAUGCUUGCAUGACCUGAUAAAGUGCCUUGAGGUCUUCUGAACAUUUUGGGAUCCCGCUCACCAAAGGACUGAAUGCGAUAAAGCCAUGAGCUUUAUUAGCUUUUUUUGGGGAAAAACAAACAAACGAAAACAAGCGAAAAUCACAGAAGGUUGUGAUGUUGUUACUAUGGUUACGAUGGCUUUUGUGCGGCCGUUUUUUUGCGAGACGAGAAACAGAGUGACUGGUUUUUCAGCAGAGUCGGAGACAGGAGCAGCGCUAAUUUAAUACGAGGAGCCAACUGUGCCAAAACUGAGUGUGUGUGUGUGUGUGUGUGAGGUGUGUGAGGUGUCUGAGGUGUGUUUUUGGACUUUCUUGUGCCUGUUUUGUUAAAGCGAGACCUCGAACCCUCUUGUUUGCUGUGAAUAUGUUCCAACGCCUCCAUGAUCAGCUGGUUUCUGAUUUGGCUGUUCGAUUUUGCUGUACAGAAAUUGUAAUAUAUUUUCGAUGCGAAGGGCAUUAAAGAUCUGCUGUGUGCUACG